rnacentral:rRNA from 1 species
UAGGGAACCUUCCACAAUGGGCGAAAGCCUGAUGGAGCAACGCCGCGUGUGUGAUGAAGGGUUUCGGCUCGUAAAACACUGUUGUAAGAGAAGAAUGACAUUGAGAGUAACUGUUCAAUGUGUGACGGUAUCUUACCAGAAAGGAACGGCUAAAUACGUGCCGG